CCAUCCAAGGGCGUCAACGCGCUGAGGAAAAUUUGAACAGGCUGAUGGAGAAGGAGAGACGUGAGGUGCUCUCAGAUAAGUGAAGCCUCAUCUCUGGGUGAUGAAUAUUACAGAGCCCGACCUAAAGAUGUAGUAGUAUAGGCUUAUGUAGUUGAGCAUAAAGCUGUCUUUUGUAGUAAUGUAGUUAUGAACUCCAAUGUGACUUAUGGAGUUAAGAUGAAGACUUGCAGAUUUGGU